CGAAACCUGCCCAGCAGAACGACCCGAGAACACGUGAACCCAAGUUCAGUGGUGCAAGUGGGGAGAGAUCCCCCUUGCUCCACCGCUCGGCCGGGGAGUUGGCUAACGCCCUCUUUUCGUGUCGAAAAACGAACCCAAGGCGCGGUAAGCGCCAAGGAAAAAACAAAUGGAUCUAGCGUGCCUCUUCUCUUUCUCCUGCCUCGGUGGGAGAAAUGCAGCGGUAGGUGUCGCGAAAUCCAAUCUUCGAA
rnacentral:rRNA from 1 species